UUGCAGACCAUGCCUGGCUCUCUAAGACUUAGGUUCUACGUAAAGAACACUGCUGUAUAUUUUCUAUCCAACAUUGUAAUGCCAUUUAAAACCCAAUUGUCAGUGUCAGGAAAGUUACUGACCAUUCAGCACUUACUGCAUUGACACUGUAGUUCUGGACUGUUGGGAUGACUCUCAGUAGUGCCCUAAGCCGUAGAUGGAUGUGUGGUAUAUCUGGCCUUGGAAAAUGCUAAUGAGCAUGAGUACAGUGUAUAGAAUAUACAGGAAACUUAAUUGGAAUUAAUUUAAAAAUAAGUGAAAUUUUAGGGACCCAUACUAGUAAAGGCAUAUGGAGAUAGAAUAGAAAGAAUGCUUCGCCUCAGUUUAAACAUUGACCCUGAAGCACAGGUUUGUAUGUGCCCUUAACUAUUAUA
ensembl:processed_transcript Gm15344 predicted gene 15344